rnacentral:rRNA from 1 species
UACAGAGGUCUCAAGCGUUGUUCGGAUUCAUUGGGCGUAAAGGGCGCGUAGGCGGCGGGGUAAGUCGGGUGUGAAAUCUCAGAGCUCAACUCUGAAAUGGCACUUGAUACUGCUCUGCUAGAGGACUGGAGAGGAGAUUGGAAUUCACGGUGUAGCAGUGAAAUGCGUAGAUAUCGUGAGGAAGACCGGGCGGCGAAGGCGGGUCUCUGGGCCGAUACUGACGCUGAGGAGCGAAAGCCGUGGGGAGCGAACAGG